rnacentral:rRNA from 1 species
AUUGAUGAGAGCCCGGGAGAGGGGGGAUUACAGAGGGUAGAAGCGGUAAUCUGAAUGACGGGGGGUAAAGUGGGCUGAGGUUGUUUGUUAAGUUGGAUGUGAAAUCCCCGGGCUCAACCUGGGACAUGCAUUGAAAACUGACUGACUAGAGUAUGGUAGAGGGUGGUGGAAUGUUCUGUGUAGCGGUGAAAUGCGUAGAGAUCUGGAGGAAUACCGGUGGCGAAGGCGGCCCCCUGGACAAAGACUGACGCUCAUGCACGAAAGCGUGGGGAGCAAACAGGAUUAGAUACCCUUGUAGUC